CUCAUCUAAAAAUGCAGUAGGGUUAGUAUCCAUGGAUUCAGGAGUUUCCUUAGAUGUCAGGGGUCUACUCUACUAGAUUCCGGUCCUAUCUUUCAAACGGCCUUUGACAGGUAGGUACACUCACCCAUCAAACGGAUUUCUCAACUUUAUUAAAAUGUAAUCUGUCACUGUUUUUACUCUGGAAAAUUUACACAGGCAUGCAUUUACACUUCGUCUUUCCACCAGAAGCUCAAUUUUAGGAGACAGAAACGAAUUUGUCAACACUUUUCGAAUGAAGGAAUACAUACAAAAUGCGUCGCCCUUAACACAACGAUAAAAAGGAGAUGUGGAAGAAAAGGUGAAAUAUGAAAAUACAUUGUAACUGUCGUUGGCAAAGAAAAAAGAUGAAAACGUCGCAAAAAAAUAAUAGCAUACUCAAGAUUUGAGAUCUAAGUGAUGAAUCCUGUAUUUCCAAGUGGAGGAAAUGGCCUCCGUGCUAGCCGCAAAUAACUGGGCCUUCUGUUAUUUGUUGAGCAAAUUACUGGGAGCUGAAAAAUAAGAGGCAUGCAAAAUCACCUUACAGCUGACUUGUUCAGCAAAGUUCAGUGGAUGUAAGGGGUGAAAGCUGUACCUGGCAAGAAAUAAGAGAAAUUCAGCAGGCUAAAAAAAAAUGCUGCCUCCCACUGCUGCCUAUUAAAUAAGUCUUACAAUAUUGUCAGUGGCACCUGGGUUUUACUCAAAGUCAGGGAGAGAAAAUGGAAUCUUGGCAGAUUAAAGCAAUACUCGUGCUGAAAAUGUAAACGCACGUACAGAGAUACACACGUGCACACACACACACACACACACACACAACACACACACAGAGUAUGUAAUUUUUUUCGUUUGUUUCUCUUCAGGCAAAUUAGAGUGUGGACUUCCUGGCUAAUUACCCUUAUCCUGACUCCCAGAGAGCCGACCGCCUUCUCAAUAACUUACAGACUUGCACAUUUAUAUUUUUAAAUCAUCAAGAAUGGGAAAAUUU
rnacentral:lncRNA from 1 species